UAUGAAAUGUGUCCGUGGGGCCGGUGAGUAAUCUCUUAGAGAGGAUGACAAUCCUGUUACAUCACCCUGCAGUAAGCCUGCUGCAUUAUCUCAGACAUGUGACUUAGGCAGUGGCGGUAGGGUUAGGCUGUUGUCCCGGGCUCUCCUGCCACAGUGAUGUCAGCGGAUACCUGGAAAUAUGACCUCAUCAUUUACAUAUAGUGUGUUUAUUAACUUCUCAAUCAAAACAGAGUUUGUUGACUUGGGGGAAGAGCUGCCUUGUCACGAGAGUUUAAGUAGCAUCAAGAGUGAGGAAAUGAAGCACAUAGCAAGUGGAUGAAUUAGAUUCUGUAAAGUUUGAUAGUUUUUCAAAAAGUCUCUUGUAUGGCUUGUGUUUGAGCACAGCAAAAAGAGCGGUCUAACUGUUGUUGUCUCUUCCUGACCGAUGUCACUUCCUAUAUAUGGAAGAGUCGUCUGGGCUGAAAAAGGAGUAUUGUAAUUAGUCAAGUGGCUCCCUGAGCUUGAAACCACGACAGCCAAAUACUGGAGUUUCAACAGCAUCUAGACCGCUGCUAGGUGCUUGGCUUGGUGCCACGGCCUCUGAGUGCAUGUCUGGCUACCGCAACCAGCCUCCAUCACAAGCUCCUGCAAGUUGCCUGAAGACAACCCAGUAAAUAAAAAAGAUAUAUAUAAAAAAAACAUCCUUCAAAUGUUGUGACUCAAAACAGGGCUACAGAGAAGAAAGUUUUGUUGGCUUUUGCACAGCUCCGCAUCAGCAGGGAAAAGAGUUCUCUGGAAAUGAAAUAAGGGCACUUCCAUUUAUAGUUUCUUAGUGGUUUCCUUCCUGUCAUAACUGGCUCUCCAGACAAGGUCAUCAGCCUGUGAGAGAGGGACCACUGGUCAGUCAGUGCCUCCUCCCUCGCUGUAGAUGUGACACGCAGCUGAGGAAGACCCUGACCCAGCUUCUUUGGAAAUCUGGCUGCGUGACUAAGUAGCACAGCACGCUGUAUAUCUGGUAGAACACACAGAAGUGCUGCAGACGUGUGUUACUGUAAUCCACCUUUUCCAGUCUUGGCACAAGCAGACGAGAAUGUGAGGAUGUGAUGUGGCUGUCAGCAAGAUUGAAAUUACAGCUGCUCGGGGCAGUUAAGCUGUCUGCAGUCCCUCUUGCUGCCUGUGGUCCUCUCAGUCCGGCCCAGGCACAUUACAGUCUAUACGGUACGAAGGCUUCGCUGGGGAUGGGGGCUCUGCAGCUUAAUGAGCAGCGAAUGCACUGCCUGUUUAAUGGCCAUGAACUAGGCUGAUAAUUAAAACGCACACAUUCCAGCCACCUUCAUGGUUACGCAACGCUGCGGUUCAUGUGGACAGAGACCCCCGGGUGUUGACCUUAAGAGUCGCACCAUUCUGUCCCUAUUUCGGGAACUCCAGCGUGGUGGGCAGAAAAAUCCCUCUGGAGUGGUGUUUAUUUUUCUUGGCAAUAGGGAACGCUGACUCCUCGGGGAAUUGUGAAAUAUUCCCUUAACUUUCUGCUCCAUCUGCCAGAGUGUCUCUUAAAUGCCCAGAUCUUUAACAGCUGCUUGUUUUUUACAUUUUUCUAUAUUAUGAUUUUUUUUUUUUAGAAUUAGGGUUAGAAAUCCAGAAAUUCAGCAAAGUGAGCUGUACGUUGUCAUGUUGUUCUUUCCCCCUCUCAUCUGUUUGCCACCUUUCAUUAAAACAAAAUCCUCUUUUCUUUGGUAGUUAGUAGUACUUUGUUUUAUUGUUUGGUGGCUGAAGGCUACUUGAAAAUAGUUACAAGGCAUCAUGAGCGGUCCUUAAUUAUGAGCAUAUGUCUUAUUUUUUUCAGAAAUGAACAAAACAUUAAAAUGGCUAAUUAAAAGAAACAACAUUUUCCAACAUGACAUUUUCCAACUAUGCUUGGAUGUUGCUUGUGAUGUCUUGUAAACAUGACAUCUUUCAAACUUUGAUGGUGCUAUUUAACCUGUUUUUAACCAGAGUUCGUCAAAGCCCAGUUUAAUCUUGUCUGUCCAAAUUUAGGCUGUGGUGUAAAGACGUUUGGACAGAUUGAGAGUCUGUCAGAUACAGACUUAGCAACUCUGGUCAGCUACACGAGCGUGGUUCAUCUCAUCAGACACCAGAUGUUUACAGCUGGAACACACACAUACACACACACACACACACACACACACACACACAUACAGUGAGAGCCUUGUUAGCAGCUGCUCACACUAUAAUGAGGCACAUUGUAAUGCAGUUUUGCAGGGGAGUCCAGUGGCUUUGUAGCAAUGUUGGUGUUACAGGAAAUUUAUGACCCAAAAGCUCCAAUUUGAGUUGAAACUCGAAUGAUCCUCCCUGUAAAAUUAAAAAGUAAUUUUGAAAGACUACUUAUGAUUCUUACCACUU